GGUCAGCCAGCAUUCCCCACCCCCACUCUUCCGCCCACCGUCUCACCAGGAUGGUCACCGUCCUCUUUAUGGUCGGUGGUGGUGGGACUGUGCUAUCUCCCCUUUUCUCCGUCGUGGAGUCCCUGGGGGAAGUGACUUCUGCCCCAGGAUCAGAUACUAUAUGAGUAUGUUCCCGUUGGGGGCGAUCCUGGAAUAACACUCGGAAGAGUGAGCCAGUCACGGGCACAGGCACGUACCAACACUUGGAGGUGAGAUUGAGUUGGUAGUCACCAGGGUCUCCGUUGCGUCUUAUGGAGCAGCCCGUCUUAUGGAGCAGCCCGGACGCUCGGCCUCCUCAAAGUUUGGAGCUGAGGAUAGAAGUGGUUUGACACAGAUCUCACUCACUCUCCUUCCUCUGGCUACAGAGUAGCAACUAUGGAAGUGAGGGAGGAGGUAGGAAGACUUGGGAGGAAUGUGAACUGAGAGGUUUAAGGUCCUAGUACUGGAGCACACAAACCACAAGUUUGGUUGUGUCUGGGAGGCAUGGACACCAGGAGAACUGGCCAGCCGGAGAGUGGUGCCCUCAUGGCCGACCCAUAGCUUUCACAGUAUCUAUCUGCCCACUUGCCUGACUCUGGGCUGCACUUAUUGAUCAGAGAGACAUGAGGAGAGAGCAGGCACUAGUGGUGCCAAGGCCUGAUGUCUCUGAGCUGGGGCUGGGAGGAGAGGGACCAGAGGUGGUUGUGUGAGUGGAUAGACUGGGGAUUCCUGUUGCCUGUGGCCUCACCUUUCCCCCAUCAUGAUAGGGCUGUGUAACCUUUGAGGAUGUGUUCGUGUACUUCUCCCGGGAAGAGUGGGAGCUCCUUGAGGAAGCUCAGAGACUCCUGUACCGUGAUGUGAUGCUGGAGAACUUUGCACUCGUGUCCUCACUGGGUCCCAUGUAGUUACCCAAAUGGAGCCCGAGGGGAGCCCAGGGUGCCUGAGAAGGUAGACACAGCUCCAGCUCCAGCAAAGAAGACCUGAAGGAGACUGGGCCCUGGUGAGUAGAUGGGAUUGGUCACAUCAGGGCUGGCUUCACAUUAUACCAGCAACCCGUGCUGUAUCUCCUAGUGUUAUGCUAUCAGUACCGGUGGCUGACCUCAUCCCACUUUUCCUUCCCCAUCUGGAUGCUUUACCCACUGUCAUUUCUACUGUGAUCUCAGUUGCCUGUUAGUCCUCCCCACCCCUUCUCAUCUCUGCAUCUUUCCUUCUCUUGGUACUCUGCGGCAUUGGGUUUCAUUUAACAUGUCGUGAGUUGUACUCACAUCCUUUGAUUUUCCUUGAAAACUUAAGUAUUCCAUUCCAGCCAGAUUUUUCUGGCCCUGGACAGACCCUUUUUGCACAGGAUGCACCUAUCAGGACAGCCCGGGUGGCUCAGCGGUUUAGCGCUGCCUUCAGCCCAGGGCCUGAUCCUGGAGACCCAGGUGACUGGGCUGGGCUCCCUGCAUGGAGCCUGGUUCUCCCUCUGCCUCUGCCUCUGCCUCUGCCUCUGUCUCUGCCUCUCUCUCUCUCUCUCUCUCUCUCUCUCUCUCUCUGUGUGUGUGUGUGUGUGUCUCAUGAAUAAAUAAAAUCUUAAAAAAAAAAAAGGAUGCAUCUAUCUCAAAGGACAAGGCCUUUGCUGGGAGACCACUGGCAGAGGAGUGAUUUGGAGACCCCACCUCUUCUUAUACUGUACUCCAUCCUCAUCCCCUCUCCCUCUGAGGUCUCCUUCAUUCUCUGACCUUUAGAGCCCUGCAGUGUGCAGCUGCUCUUCCUCAUCCUGAUUCUAGCUCCCAUGUUGUGCCAGCAGUCCCAUGGAUCCAUUCUUGGUUGCAUGAGACACGCAUUUGUGAGGGCAUGCCACUUGCCUCCAAUUAAACAUGCACUUCAGCAUUUAUCUUCCUUCAGGUUGUUGGCAUGGAGUGAAGGAUGAGGCCACACCUUCGGAGCAGGCUGUUUCUAUGAGGGUCACAGAUGAGAACUCCCAUUGCAGGUCUUUCCACCUAAAAGGCUCAUCCCUGUGACAUGUGUGACCCAGUCUGGAAAGACAUCUUUGCACCUGGUUGAGCCACAGGGGACACCAUCUGAGCAGCACCCAAACACCAAUAACAUGUGAACCGCUGUAGGAGAGACUUUUGGUGUAGUCUAAACCUUGACCAGAUGCAGAAGCAGCAGAGUGGAGAAAAUGUCUUCAGAAAGGAAAGGAGCCCGGCCUGAUUUGUGAAAAUAUACAGAUCUCAUGUGUGGGGAAAGCCUUUACUUGCAGGGAGGAUGGGAAGAACUUUAUGGUCAGCUCUGGAUUUGUGCAGUGCCAGGCCUCUCGCAGUGGGGAGAAAGCACACAGGGCUUUCUGUAGGGAGUGUAGGGAGGCCUUUCAUGGAUCACAUUUUCUUUAGGCAUGAAAGCACAGCCUGAGGCCAUAAAGCCUUCCACUUGUUGGAGCAGCCUCCCUCCACGGUUGAUUGACUCAGCGCAUCUCAAGGGACUCUUGGUUGUGGGGACCUGGGGAACGACAAGGGCCAUUGGAGAUGCACUUGAGUCUGGGAUACUUUCCCACAAGGAAAGUGUCCCCAGGAAGGUGAGCUUUAAGCAUGGUGGUGUGGGGACAGCUAAUCUGCAUUUGAGGCUUUCACAGGAGCGAGUCUCAGGGAGGAGGGUGCUCUCCAUGAACCACUCACACAGACCACAGAAAGGUUCCAGGGUCUAUGCGAAGAAUUUAUACAAGUGGAAGGUUUAACAAACGGCAUUGGUUGUUCAACAUAAGCAGAUCAUGCUGAAGGGGAAGCCUUUCUUGGGAGGUUAGGCCUAGGUCAACACAUAAGGAUUUAUAAGGAGUGCUUCCAAGUGUGGGAAGGCCUUCAGCUGCAGGUUAGAGCUCAUGCAACACUAGCAGAUUCACACUGGGAGAAGCCUUAUGAAUGCAAGGAAUGAGGAAACGUCUGGGACGGCUAUGCUUUUGUCCAAAAUAAUUCCGCCACCCUAGAGAAAGUCUCUUUAAGUACAAAGUAUGUGGGUAAGCCUUUUGUGACAGCUGUUUUCUCAUACAUCUCUUAAGGGUCUUCCCAGGAGAGAAGGCCUGAGUGCAGUGAUGUGGGAAGGCCUUCAUUCACCAUUUUUAUUUCUGACAUUAAUAGGAUCCAUACUGGAGGAAAACCCUUUGAGUGUAAAGAUCAGAGAGCCUUUUGUGACUGCUCUUCCCUAACUCUACGGGGAGUAACAGUGGGGAGAAACCGUGUGGAUACAGUGAGUGUGGACACACUUUCAGGCUUCAUUCAUCCCUCACCCACCACCUAAGUAUUCAUAAUGUGGAGAAACUCUGUGAGUAUAAGGGAUGUGGGAAAGCAUAUUGCAAGUGGACUUACCUCAGUCAACACCAGAGAACUCAUAUUGGGGAGAAUGCAACUCCUGAGGAAAAUGUUUGCCAGAGGAAGCAUCGUGCUUGGCGUCUGAGAAAUUAUACCAAAGAGAAACCCUGUAAAUGUUAUCGUUGUAAGAAAAUCUUCUGAAACAGAUCCUCACUUACUGUCUCCUAAAAGAUCCUAUUGGAAGUUAACUCAGCUAGGACCUCACUCUACAAAUGAACUUAAAAAGAAGAGAAAAAUAGUGGUUAAUUGUGCAGUUAACAAAACCUUCAGCUACGGCUCAGUCUCAGUAUGUGCUGAAAAGCAAUCAUGGAAUUUUUUUUAAAAAGAGAAAAGGCCUAAGGGAGGAGGAGAGAAAGAAGUAGAUUUAACAGAAAAAGAAAUACAUUCCUUGUUUCUUUCAGGUUUCCCUGACAAACCUAUGACAAUUUAUUUUCAGUUGUUUCUGUUUGGGGUGGCAGGUGGGAGCACUGUUUGAGAGGUGAAGGGACGGCAUCCCUUCACGCGACUUACUAUACACUGCUGUUCUGUGUCAGGAGAGCUGGACACCUGACAGCAGCUCUGCAGGUAUUUGUCAAAAUCCUUCUUUGUUGAAAAACACUGACUCACCAUUAGAGGUCGUAAGUCUCUGUGAUAAAUGUGAAGUCUUGAUUUAUGAAGCAUUUAAAACUUAAAAGAAAUUAGACCACUAAAAAUAUUGUUGCCUAAAAUUAUUUUAUAUCUAAGAAGCUAAGGACAAAUAUAUGAAUGGGUAUAUUUUCUGCACCGUUUAAGACUAUCUAAGGUUUCAGUCACUUAUGCACUUCUUUAUUGAGAUAUAAUUAACACAUAACAUCAUGUGAGUUUAAGGUGUACAACAUUGAUUUUAUGAAUCUAUGUUGCAGUGAUUGCCACUGUAGCAUUAACUAAACACUUGUAUCCUAGUAGUAUCCUGUAUUCUGUGCUCCUAGUGCUAGGAACAGUUAAGAUCGAGUCUCCUGCCAAGUUUAAUGUUCGUGAUAUAGUUUUGUUCCUCAUAAUAUCUGUACUGUGUAUUGGAUCUUCAGGACUUAUUUAUCUACUAGUUGCAAGUAUGUACCCUUAAACAACAUCCCCCCACCCAAGCCUUUGGUAACCAUCAUUCUCUCUAUUUGAGUUCAGUUUUUUUGUUUUUCUCUUAAGAGUCCACAUAUAAAAAUAUGUAGUAUUUGUCUUUCUCUGUUUAAUUUAUCUCAGCAUAAUGUCCUUAAGGGCAUUCUGUAUUACCGCAAAUAACAGCAUUUCCUUUUUCCUCAUGACUGAAUGAUAUUCCAUUGUGUAUAUACCACAUCUUCUUUAUCCUUUGGUGGACACUUAAGUUGUUACCAUAUCUUGUCUCUUGUGUACAAAGCUACAAUAAACAUGGGAGUGCAGA